AGAGUUUGAUCCUGGCUCAGAACGAACGCUGGCGGCGUGCUUAACACAUGCAAGUUGGACGAGAAAGCUCAGAGAUGGGCAAGUAAAGUGGCGUCCGGGUGAGUAACACGUAGGUAAUCGACCUUUAAGACGGGGACAACAUCUCGAAAGAGAUGCUAAUACCUGGUAAGACCACAUUACAUAAGUGGAGUGGUAAAAUGGUGGCCGCUGAAACAAGCUACCGCUUAAAGAAGAGCCUGCGCACCAUUAGCUAGUUGGUGAGGUAAGAGCUUACCAAGGCAACGAUGGUUAGCUGGUCUGAGAGGAUGAUCAGCCACACUGGAACUGAGAUACGGUCCAGACUCCUACGGGAGGCAGCAGUGAGGAAUCUUGCGCAAUGGGGGCAACCCUGACGCAGCAACGCCGCGUGAGUGAGGAAGGUCUUCGGAUCGUAAAGCUCUGUCAGUUGGGAAGAAAUACCUGAGGGUCAAUACCCUUCAGGCUUGACGGUACCAACAGAGGAAGCACCGGCUAACUCCGUGCCAGCAGCCGCGGUAAUACGGGGGGUGCAAGCGUUGUUCGGAAUUAUUGGGCGUAAAGAGCGUGUAGGCGGCCUGAUGUGUCAGAUGUGAAAGCCCUGGGCUUAACCCAGGAAGUGCAUUUGAAACUAUCAGGCUCGAGUAGGGGAGAGGGAAGUGGAAUUCCUGGUGUAGAGGUGAAAUUCGUAGAUAUCAGGAGGAACACCGGUGGCGAAGGCGACUUCCUGGCCCUAUACUGACGCUGAGACGCGAGAGCGUGGGUAGCAAACAGGAUUAGAUACCCUGGUAGUCC
rnacentral:rRNA from 1 species